AGGAGAUGACGGUGCGUCGGCAGUGGUUGCCCCGAGGGAGAGGAAAAUGUGUCCCUAUACCAUAUCCCCUCGAGGUGGUGGUAGGUUUGGGCUGUCUGUAAAGCGUUAUACAAUGCUAGGGGCUUAGGGAGGUAUUUAGAAAAAUAAACCGGGUUUUCUAAAGUAUCGGUGUCUAUUUUUAGGAUUUUUUUUAAAAGUACUACCUAUUUGGUAUCAAAAUAGAAAAGCAUUUGUCAAAACUGAAAAUAACCAAUACUAGCACCCCG
rnacentral:lncRNA from 1 species